rnacentral:rRNA from 1 species
GAUUAGAGUUUGAUCCUGGCUCAGAACGAACGCUGGCGGCGUGCCUAACACAUGCAAGUCGAGCGCGAAAGUUCCUUCGGGAAUGAGUAGAGCGGCGGACGGGUGAGUAAUACGUGGGUAAUCUGCCCCCGAGCUCGGGAUAACAGUGCGAAAGCGCUGCUAAUACCGGAUAAGACCACAUGACACAUGUUGUGCGGUAAAAGGUGGCUUUAUUUUCGGAUGAGGCUAUCACUUGAGGAUGAGCCCAUGGCCUAUCAGCUUGUUGGUGAGGUAAAAGCUCACCAAGGCGAUGACGGGUAGCUGGUCUAAGAGGACGACCAGCCACACUGGGACUGAGACACGGCCCAGACUCCUACGGGAGGCAGCAGUGGGGAAUAUUGGGCAAUGGGCGAAAGCCUGACCCAGCGACGCCGUGUGGGCGAUGAAGGCCUUCGGGUUGUAAAGCCCUGUGAGGUGGAAAGAAGGGCCUAGAGGUUAAUACCCUUUAGGCUUUGACGGUACCACCAGAGAAGCACG